rnacentral:sRNA from 1 species
ACUGGGUAGAUGUUUAAUGUCUUGUAAAAAUCUAAAUGUUUCGGUUUUGCUUGAUGACCAAGGUUAGCUCACAUGUGUUCUUCUGAAUGUGAUCUUUAAGAGUUGGGCAAUACGGGUGCCUGGAAGGACCCCUAAGUUCACAGAGUCUUAAAUUAGUGAUUGGCUAAGGUAACAUGAUGGCUAGAGAAAGAUGGAUGCUGGGCUCUGCUCCCCAUCCCUGCUCACAGCAAGCGGGGACUUCAUUCCGGGCUUUACUGAGACCUCAGCCGAAAGCUUAUACGUGUUCAUCGGAUCAAAUGUGAGUGUGGGGGGAACCACGAGUCAGAAGGUCCGGGCAGAGAUGCGAACAGACACAGUACAGGAAGGUGACUCCCAGAGCAGUGUGUAUAGUAAGAAAUGGGGUGUGUGAGAAGACACAGGCAUCGGUAUUCAGACUUCCAUUGUGAUGUGUAGAGUCAUUUUUUCCAGUGAGCAGCGUUAGAGCGACGUCAUAAUCAACACGCGGAUAGCUACGUGUCUCACACUGCUGGCUACCACACUUGUAGAAGCCACAAGGUCCCAGCGCAGGACAGGCGCUCCACACCACAGAGGCCCGCAGUGUACUCCAGCUGCUCUGGCUGCUUUUCAGAGUAUUCCUCCAUCCAAUCAGAAAGCCGUUGGUCUCUCUCAGAAGAGUCAGGCCAUCAUUGCACCAGUGGGCCCACCUUGCCUGGAAAAUUGGACUCUAGCAGCUAAGAUCUAUAGUCUUCUAACGAUUGGUACUGCAGCUCAGCUAUACAUGAUGAUCAACUUUAGCAAAAGUUUCCCCGUUAUGUCCAUGAAGAUUAACAGAUGAGCCUGAACAAACUUGGGCAUUGAGUCUGCCUGCUGAGGGGACCAAGGGUGUGGACUGCUCAAGUUCCUGCUCACUGAUGUGAUGGCAUUUGGAAGGAAACAGAGAAAGAGGAAGGCGGCUCUUCAGAGGCCUUCAUGGACUGGAGGAUGAUUAGAAGACUACUGGUUGAGGCCUUCACAUGGCCAGUAGUACCUUUGUGUGGUCAGCCUGGGGGUGUUCUUUAGGCCGAACAUCUGGACACACCCAGUCCUUGUGGAGUUUCCCAGAGAGUCAGAGUACAUAGGCCUCCCUCUGACUCCUCCUUAGUGGGCCUCGGACAAGCUCCCACUGAUUUCUUUCUUGUCUUACACACUAGGGGGUUUGGCCCACUGUCUCUCUAAAGACGGGUUUGGUUCUGGGAUGGUAUUCAAAGUAGGCCACAUUUCUUCACAGUGGCUCUGCUUUCUUGCUUUGAUUAAAGAAAGAGCAAAAUGUUCUCCAUUUUAUAAGGCUUUGUGGUGUUAACCUUUCCAGGGCCACAGUACAAGUAGCAAAUAUGAAAAAGGACAUCAAAACCAGCCCUUUAGCCAGACAUGGUGGGGCACACCUGUGAACCAGGAGAAGGACUUUGAGUUCAAGGCCACCCAGGGCUGUAUAAUAAAGCUAUGUCUCAAAAAGUCAAAAAUAACAACAAAAAGAAAUAGCAGUUAAUACUGUCCUGAAUUUUACCCCAACUUGCAAGUAAAUAUAGGCUUCUCUUAACCCCUCUUUCUCUAAACCAGAACUUCUCAGCCUUCCCAACACUGAGUCCCUUUAACACAGCUCAUGGCAUUGUGGUGAUUGCCAAGUAUAAAGUAAAACUCGUUUUGACACUGUUAUGAAUCUGAAUGUAAAUGUAUGAUAUGCAGGAUAUCUGAUAUGUGACCCUCGCAGGGGUCACGGCCCAUAGGUUGAGAAUCAUUGCUUUAAACCCUUCUUCUAGGUGGCAUGUUGGCUGUUCCAGUAGCGUUUGCUCUUUGCAGGCCUUUCUGGAUUGGGAACUUCUGGAGAGUAGAGACAACAAACAAAACAAAAGGGUGAUUUCACCCAUCCUGCUCCUUCCCAGACACAGUAGACAUAGCGGGCAGCAUACGUGUGUGGUCUUCCUCACUCUAAGGAAUUCUCCAUCAGACAUCAGGAUAUCCUCUAAUGUAAUUCAGGCCAGACACUAUCUGUCUGGAGGAGAAACUGUCCAAUCCCACUAGGCAAGGCCUCGGUACUUAAAACUGCCUCCCUUUCAAAUGCCAGUCAAGUAAUGAAUUAUGAGCUGGACUGACCUGCAAUAAAUCAGAUUUCUAAGACCUGUUUGUAGGGUUCAAUUGACUUGGCAGAGCGGUGUCCUGGUUAGGUUUCUACUGUUGUGAUAAAACAC